CAGAUAAUUGUCUGAAAUUACCCAGUGAUGUUUAUGUACUUCUAGAAUACAUAUAAUUGUCUUGAACUGACUCA